GGGAGCAAGAAGAAGACAAGGAAAUGGCUAAUUUCCUGAGAAUCAAGUUAAAACCUCUAGACAAAGUAACCAAAUCUCCAGCCAAAAAACAGAUUAUUCAAGUUGGCUUAUCAAACAAUGAUUUACUCUUAAGGUGCCUUUCAAUACACCUAUGAAUAUGCUACCCCUUGAGCCUUCUACUUGGGGAUCUCUGACCAUGGUGAUGAGGAUAGGAACGGCUUUAGCAGAAUUAAUCCAAGGUCCAGGAGAUAUCUCUAUAAAAGAAUGGAAGAUGAAUGGUCAAGAUAAUUUGAGCCUGACAACAAAGAGAGCUAUAGCUCUUGAGAAAUUUAAAUUAAAAUUUAAAUGUAUGAGAAGGACUGCAGUCCCUAGGAGUUAAAGUAGCAUGCUACAGAGAUCAAUCAAAACAUGAAUUCUUCAGUUACUGGAGCUGUACAUUAAACACCUGUCCCAGACUGCAUCUAUGCUCAUUCGCAUUUAUUCAUUCAUUCAAUAAGUAUUUAUCGAGUACCCACUAAAUUCCAGGCACUGUACUACUUGCUAAAUACAUGAAAUAAGAGUUGAAUUCUUAGAGUUUAAAGAAGGGAGAUGGCUGGGCGCGGUGGCUCACGCCUGUAAUCCCAGCACUUUGGGAGGCCGAGACGGGCGGAUCACAAGGUUAGGAGAUCGAGACCAUCCUGGCUAACACAGUGAAACCCCGUCUCUACUGAAAAUACAAAAAAUUAGCCAGGCGUGGUGGCAGGCGCCUGUAGUCCCAGCUACUCGGGAGCCUGAGGCAGGAGAAUGGUGUGAACCCGGGAGGUGGAUCUUGCAGUGAACCGAGAUCGCGCCACUGCACUCCAGCCUGGGGUGACAGAACGAGACUCUGUCUCAAAAAAAAAAAAAAAAAAAAGAAGGGAGGUACAUGUGCAGAAAGUGCAGGUUUGUUACAUAGGUAUACAUGUGCCAUGAUGGUUUGCUGCACCCAUCAACCUGUCAUCUACAUUAGGUAUUUCUGCACAUGUACACCAGAAUUUAAAGUAUCAUAAAAAAAAUUUAAAAAUAAAUAAAUAAAUGUCCUCCUAAAAAAAUAAAGAAGGGAGGUAUGCUGUGGGAGGGACAUACUCAGUAUGUGUUCAAAUAAUUAUAUGUAAUGAUACGUGCUAUGCUAUGUAUGCUAUGCUUUUGCUGAAAGAGAAAAUAAUGAGAGACACAAAUUUGAUGGCAACAUUUCUAGAGAAAUGAUAUUCUCGACAUGAAACAUAGGUAGAGAUUAUUCAGGAGAAGAAAGAGGAAGUAAUGUUUCGGGCCAAUGGAGCAACAGGUGCAAAGUCAUAGAGAUUGGAAACACAUUGGCAUAUAUAUAUUUGUAUUGUUUCUAUGAAAUCAUUUGCCAAAUUAGGCUAGUGCCAUGGCCAGAUUAGGGCUUAUCAGUCAACAAAAAUAUUUAAAUAAUUAUCGUUGACUCAGAGCCAUUACAACUAAAUUAUGAGCUCUUAUUCAUAUAAUAGAUAUCCAUUUGCACAUCCUUCAUAAACUAUCACUGACACCUUUCUGUGUUGAACUGAAAGAUCGGGGCAUGCUCUUUAUUGCUAUUAUGCUAUUUAUUAUUGUGGUAAAUUUAAAUGACAUGAUAUUCAUAGAUCUCAGAAACUAUACUUAAUGUUGGCAAUCAAUUUGAGAUAAAAGAACGAUAGGUUUCAUGCAGUCAUGUAUUCCUUCAAUAAGCAUGUGGUGAGUGUCUACUUGCAAGUAACUACUAGGUGAUGAGGAUAAAAAGAUGAGUUAAAUUGUUUUCAGUGAACACAGAGGAGGAAAGCAAGGUAUGCAUACAAAUGAGUCUGAAGUGUGAGAGUGGUUACUUAAGUAGAGGCAAGAGGAGAAACAGGCUUACUUUUAUUUUUAAGACUGUACCAGUUUGCAUAUGUGUUAGGCUAAAAGAAAGAAGGUGAUAGAAAUGGAGAGACUGAAGAUAUUAAAAAUAUGACAAAAAUCAGAAGGAUAGAGGCCUUGAGGAGAGAAUAAAUGAUUGAACAAAAGCAGAUGUGGAAAGAAAGUGUUUGAACAAAUAAAUGUUACAGGCAAAUUUAAAAAAAAAAGAGAAAAGUUAUUGGAGUUGGCUCCUGGUGGUAAAUACCUACUCCAUGAAAUGUAAGUUAAUGUACUGAAAAUUAAAGGCCAGGCCAGGCUCAGUUUUUUGUUCUCAUUGAACAAAUGAGAAAUAAGGUUUGAGGAGAUUAGUUCAAAAUUAAAACAAACUUUAUACUUCUUUCUCUUAAUACAUUCAGUUUAGUUCCUCCUAAGUUGAUGAUGCUGAUGAUUGGAAUGGCAUUAAUUACACUUUGCAGUUUUCAAAAGUUUAAUAGUGAGCCCUAAAAUUGUGACUAAAGAAAUGUUAAUGCUAAAUACUUCAGAUUUAUGACAACUCUUUCUCUUCUUUCACCGUAAAAGGUGGUUGAAAGCAUACACAAAUAUGCAACUCUAUAUAUUCAUCAACAAAACAUUUAAAAAUUGAUAUCGCAAGAUUUUGUUCCUUGCAUAAAUCAUUCAGAGUAAGGUUGAAACACUACUAAUAUUUAAAAAUGGGUUGAUGUCAUCAGAUGUCAGCUUGCCUUGCACAUAGUAAACAGCAAAUAAACCUAAGUUGAAUAGAAUUGUUCUCAUUUUUUCACUUUUACUUUUGCAUAAACUCAACAUUUCUUUGAUUUCUCUUGUUUUUUCUUUGAAUUUAUAUCUCAUGUUUUUCAAAUUGAAACUAUGUGAAAAGAAAUGAAAUUGACUGAUUUAACCAUAAAGUUUAGUAUAACGUACAACAAAUAUUCUCAAGUAUCCAUAUUAUGGUAAUCAGGCUGAUGCAAUAUUUAUCUCAUAUCUUAUAAAAUGUACUUACUACAUAUACUAAAUUUUAUGGUGAAACAAGCUAAAACAGCUUUUUCUGUGACUAAUAUUUAAGCUACACAUUCCGUUUUUGAGAGUUUUCAUGGUAUUUGUCUUUAAAACACACACACACACAAAUACAGUGACAAAAUGCUUUUGGUUCUAAUCAUUCGAUUAUAUUUUUCCUAUCUUUAUCUCAAAGUCUGCAUGUAUUUGUAUCAUAGAUUAUCAUGUUUUUCCACUUCCUGCAUCAUUUUUCCCUCUUUUUGGAGGUACCUUGGCAAAAUAGUCCAACAUGUCUGUAUUUCCAUGCCAUUCAUCUGCUGCUGAGCAAAUAUUUGCUAGGUAAUUGUUUUUAUCAGAGUGUCAUAAAUUUCAUGAAACUGAACUGUCAGUAAAUCUCUUCUCUGCAUGCAACAAUAAUCUAUUGCCUAAAAUUACUGAACAAAUUAAAAACGAAUACAGAAAAUUUGAGUUUUUUCUUAAUACUCUGAGCUCCUACACAUUUUAAAGUGUAAAAACCUCUGACAUUUUUUCUUAGAAGUUUAGAAAUACUAAGUAACAUUACUUUUAAAUGUUAGUUAUGGUACUGCUGAUUCUUUCAGGCCAUCUAUUUCUCAACACAAGGGCCAUACAAGCUAAGGCAACAACUGGUUUCUUUGUUUUUGGAUCCAGUGCGCAGAAGCAAGUACACACACACAUUCAUCUUUUCCCUUGUUAAGCAACUGUCUACCAUUCUGUAAAAUCACAGAGGUAAGAAGGUAAUUUUAACUGUAUGACACUGAAAUGUAUGUGACUCCAGCUAGCAUUCUUUGUGUUUGACACUUGAAAACUCUCUAUUUUCCUCUCAUCUCAAGGAGAAGUCUUGGUCUUCCAUUUCAUUUUUACUUUUAGUGUUUUCUAUUGAGGCAAAGUGAAUACAAUGAAGAGCAGCAUGGCUUUUCUGAGUUUGUCUAGUGAUAGAAAAAAUAAGAAUGUGGAACCUUUAUGCAGUUCAACAGUAUUUCCUAUUAAUGACAACGUACUCUCGUUGAGAAGGGAUUGGCCUGAAGAAUGGCAUCUCAAGAUAAAGACGAUAGAAGCAGAAGAGGAAUAAAAGAGAUCUCCGCUCUAUGCAAAUUGAGUGUGAGAAAUAUUUCAAACAAGACUGGCAUAAGAGGAAAUAGAAUUACUCUGUGGCCUCUCUGGAAAGUUCCCAGUUCCCUGCACUGGAGAAAAGAGAAACUACCAUACUUUGAACAGCUUUGUAACACUUACGAGCUUAUGUUUGAGGAGGGUAUAAUGUCAAAAAUAUAAUAUGCACUACUCUGGGAUAUAAAACUAAAGACCUGUGUUUUAACGUAUGGGGAUUAACAGACAUAAAAUUAUCUACAAUUAGCUGAUGCAAAUAUUUAUAAUAGGUAAAACAUAACUGAAGUUAUACAGUGUUGUGUCAAGUUCUUGGGAUUCAAUUCAAUACUUCAAAAUAAUUUUGAUGAAAGAAAUCCAUUGUAAAACCAAUUUUCUAAAAAAGCAAAUAUAUGUUUCCCUUUAAAAAUUGCUUUUAUAGCC